AAUAAAUAAAUAAAAUUUCUUUCAUUUCUCUGCAGAUAAAUAACCACAAGGAGAGAGCUCAGUUCUUCAUCUGCCAGGCUCUGGAAUAUCUCCACCAUCCACAAGCCAGAAUCAGGUUCACAGCAGGCCAGUUCAUAGGUCAUGCACUGAAUGGUUACAGUGUAGAGUUGUCAGGACACCUUGAUGAGUAGAACAUUCUCCACCUGGGAAAAGGUAAGGUAAGGGAGGGCUGCUGGGUUUCCUGUUGGGUGGGGUGGCCAGAAGCGGACCAACUGAAGUGGCCCUGCACAUGGUCUGUGGCAGAGGAGAGGGAGAAACUGGCCUUUAUUAUUCUGUGGGCACAGAAAGCAGUGCCUUGUUGGAUAUGCUGACCUGGCCCACAUCACUCAGCAUCCUACUUGGUUACCUAUGGACCUCAUUUCUACUUUAGUUUUCCAGGAGAUGGGAUCGAAUCCAGAUCUCAGCUUAGAACACUCUGCAGAAAAAUACACGGAGAUGCUGCUAAAACUGUCUCUCAUGAAGAGAUGAGCAGAGCACUUGAAGUAGCAGACUCAACACAAGGGGAGGGAGCACAGGUAUGCCCUGUGGGGUGUGCCCACAAGUGUGCGUGCAAAUUGGCAGGCAUGAAUGUGGCUGACACGGAUGCUGCAGGAUGGUGGAGUGAGGCUGGCCAAGACCCCCAUAGGAGUCCUGGCAAGGUUCCCCACUGUGCCAUGUGCUCCCUGUUCAGGCUAUCCGGAGCAGGAGAGGAGCUUCCAGAAAUACCUGAGGAGGAGGACACCACCAUUGGAGAGAUCCAGCUCAAUGAGCCUUUUGACAGACGACCAGCCACGCCACUCCUACCAUCGGACUCCCCUGGGCCCACAGGGCCAUCUGUGCAUAAGGAAAACUGUGAUAUGCUUUUGGGCACACAAAGUCUGAGGGACAGCAAGCUGGCCCCUGGCUCAAAAAGGUUGCCUACUCCUGAGCUAGACAAUGCAACUAUUCAA